CAGCAAAUAGUUUUGAUAAAAUUUAAAUUUUGGAAAUUUAAGAAGGAAUUUUUUUCUUUGCUGAA
rnacentral:tRNA from 1 species